UACGAAGGGUGCAAGCGUUACUCGGAAUUACUGGGCGUAAAGCGUGCGUAGGCGGUUUGUUAAGUCAGCUGUGAAAGCCCCGGGCUCAACCUGGGAACUGCAGUUGAUACUGGCCGACUGGAGUGCGAGAGAGGGAGGUAGAAUUCCAUGUGUAGCGGUGAAAUGCGUAGAUAUAUGGAGGAAUACCGGUGGCGAAGGCGGCCUCCUGGCUCGACACUGACGCUGAGGUGCGAAAGCGUGGGGAUCAAACAGG
rnacentral:rRNA from 1 species